CCUACGGGUGGCAGCAGUGAGGAAUAUUGGUCAAUGGGCGGAAGCCUGAACCAGCCAAGCAGCGUGCAGGAAGAAGGCACAACGGGUUGUAAACUGCUUUUAUAAGGGAAUAAAGCGCCGUACGAGUAGGGCGUUGCAUGUACCGUAUGAAUAAGGACCGGCUAAUGCCGUGCCAGCAGCCGCGGUAAUACGGAAGGUCCGGGCGUUAACCGGAUUUAUUGGGGUUAAAGGGAGCGUAGGUGGAUUUUUAAGUCAGUGGUGAAAGUUUGCGGCCCAACCGUAAAAUUGCAGUUGAAACUGGCAGUCUUGAGUACAGUAGAGGUGGGCGGAAUUCGUGGUGUAGCGGU
rnacentral:rRNA from 1 species